rnacentral:piRNA from 1 species
UGCAAUUCCGUGCCAUUGUAUGUCACUUGAUG